rnacentral:rRNA from 1 species
AUUGAACGCUGGCGGCAUGCCUUACACAUGCAAGUCGAACGGUAACAGGUCUUCGGAUGCUGACGAGUGGCGAACGGGUGAGUAAUGCAUCGGAACGUGCCCAGUCGUGGGGGAUAACGCAGCGAAAGUUGCGCUAAUACCGCAUACGAUCUAUGGAUGAAAGCGGGGGAACGUAGGCCUCGCGCGAUUGGAGCGGCCGAUGUCAGAUUAGGUAGUUGGUGGGGUAAAGGCUCACCAAGCCGACGAUCUGUAGCUGGUCUGAGAGGACGACCAGCCACACUGGGACUGAGACACGGCCCAGACUCCUACGGGAGGCAGCAGUGGGGAAUUUUGGACAAUGGGCGCAAGCCUGAUCCAGCAAUGCCGCGUGCAGGAAGAAGGCCUUCGGGUUGUAAACUGCUUUUGUACGGAACGAAACGGUCCUGGUUAAUACCCGGGGCUAAUGACGGUACCGUAAGAAUAAGCACCGGCUAACUACGUGCCAGCCGCCGCCGUAA